rnacentral:rRNA from 1 species
CCUACGGGACGCAGCAGUGGGGAAUAUUGCACAAUGGGGGAAACCCUGAUGCAGCGACGCCGCGUGAGUGAGGAAGUAUUUCGGUAUGUAAAGCUCUAUCAGCAGGGAAGAAAAUGACGGUACCUGACUAAGAAGCCCCGGCUAACUACGUGCCAGCAGCCGCGGUAAUACGUAGGGGGCAAGCGUUAUCCGGAUUUACUGGGUGUAAAGGGAGCGUAGACGGAGGAGCAAGUCUGAUGUGAAAAUCCGGGGCCCAACCCCUGAACUGCUUUGGAAACUGCCAUGCUAGAGUGCUGGAGAGGUAA